rnacentral:rRNA from 1 species
UGGGGAAUCUUCCGCAAUGGACGAAAGUCUGACGGAGCAACGCCGCGUGAGUGAAGAAGGUUUUCGGAUCGUAAAACUCUGUCUUUUGGGGCGAACGUGAGUAUGGUGAACAAUCAUAGUCAGUGACGGUACCAAAGGAGGAAGCCACGGCUAACUACGUGCCAGCAGCCGCGGUAAUACGUAGGUGGCAAGCGUUGUCCGGAAUUAUUGGGCGUAAAGAGCGCGUAGGCGGGAUAGUCAGUCUGUUGUAAAAGUGCGGGGCUCAACCCCGUGAUGGCAAUGGAAACAGCUAUUCUUGAGUGCAGGAGAGGAGAGUGGAAUUCCCAGUGUAGCGGUGAAAUGCGUAGAUAUUGGGAGGAACACCAGUGGCGAAGGCGACUUUCUGGACUGUGUCUGACGCUGAGGCGCGAAAGCCAGGGGAGCGAACGGGAUUAGAUACCCCGGUAGUCCUGGCCGUAAACGAUGGGUACUAGGUGUGGGGGGUAUCGACCCCUUCCGUGCCGGAGUUAACGCAAUAAGUACCCCGCCUGGGGAGUACGGUCGCAAGACUGAAACUCAAAUGAAUU